UGGGGCUGGACAUGGAUGGCGGCGCACUCAGCCCACUGUUCCCUUUGGCUUGCAGGUGGCCAUCAAAAAGGUGCCACGGAACCGUGUUCAGCACUGGGGCGAGCUGCCUAGCAGAGAUUCCUGGAAUGCCAGGACAAGAUAAGCCUUAAAGGGAAAACAGUGAGAAAAGAGACGCCGGAGAAAGGACACGUAACCCGGAAGCCGAGGCACAUAAAAGGAGAAACACGGAAGCGGGAAGCGCGGCAGUUUCGCGGAGAAGAAAUUUUUACCUUCUCCCCUGUCGCCUGGCGCCGACUUUUGCUUAUUGCUGGCUUGCUGUAAUUAAUAAAACCUUUCCUUAUAUCUCUCUCUCUAGUGCA
rnacentral:lncRNA from 1 species